GAGAGCCGGAUGACGCGAAAGUGUCAAGUCCGGUUCGGAGAGAGGUACGGGGAAAAGUGCUGUGCAAACAGUAACUCGCCCUGUGCCUACUCUAC
rfam:Chloroflexi bacterium OLB13 TZ13_contig000125, whole genome shotgun sequence.